rnacentral:rRNA from 1 species
GGUUUGAUUAUGCUCAGAUUGAACGCUGGCGGGAUGCUUUACACAUGCAAGUCGAACGGCAGCACGGACUUCGGUCUGGUGGCGAGUGGCGAACGGGUGAGUAAUGUAUCGGAACGUGCCUAGUAGCGGGGAUAACUACGCGAAAGCGUAGCUAAUACCGCAUACGCCCUUCGGGGGAAAGCGGGGGACCUUUCGCCUUCGCACUAUUAGAGCGGCCGAUAUCGAUUAGCUAGUUGGUGGGGUAACGGCUCACCAAGGCGACGAUCCGUAGCUGGUUUGAGAGUGACGACCAGCCACACCGUGGGGACUGAGACACGGCCUGGACUCCUACGUUACGGGAGGCAGCAGUGGGGAAUUUUGGACAAUGGGGGAAACCCUGAUCCAGCCAUCCCGCGUGCGAUGAAGGCCUUCGGGUUGUAAAGCACUUUUGCAGGAAAGAAACGGUGACGGAUAAUACCCGUGCAACUGACGGUACCUUGGUAGAAUAAGCACUGACUAACUACGCGCCAGCAGCCGCGGUAAUGCCGUAGGGUGCAAGCGUUAAUCGGAAUUACUGGGCGUAAAGCGUGCGCAGGCGGUUCGAAAGAAAGAUGUGAACCUGAGCUUAACUUUGGAACUGCAUUUUUAACUACCGAGCUAGAGGCCAGAGAGUGGAAUCGCGUGUAGCAGUGAAAUGCGUAGAUAUGCGGAGGAACACCGAUGGCGAAGGCAGCCUCCUGGGAUAACACUGACGCUCAUGCACGAAAGCGUGGGGAGCAAACAGGAUUAGAUACUCCCGGUAGUCCACGCCUCAAACGAUGUCAACUAGCUGUUGGGGCCUUCGGGCCUUGGUAGCGCAGCUAACGCAGUUGACCGCCUGGGGAGUACGGUCGCAAGAUUAAAACUCAAAGGAAUUGACGGGGACCCGCACAAGCGGUGGAUGAUGUGGAUUAAUUCGAUGCAACGCGAAAAACCUUACCUACCCCUGAUGUCUGGAACUCGAAGAGAUUCGGGAGUGUUUGCAAGAGAACCGGAACACAGGUGCUGCAUGGCUGUCGCCGCUCAAAAUGAGAUGUUGGGUUAAGUCCCGCAACGAGCGCAACCCUUGUCAUUAGUUGCUACGAAAGGGCACUCUAAUGAGACUGCCGGUGACAAACCGGAGGAAGGUGGGGAUGACGUCAAGUCCCCAUGGCCCUUAUGGGUAGGGUCACACGUCAUACAAUGGUCGGGACAGAGGGUCGCCAACCUCAAGGCGAGGGGAGCCAAUCCCAGAAACCCGAUCGUAGUCCGGAUCGCAGUCUGCAACUGACUGCGUGAAGUCGGAAUCGUUAGUAAUCGCGGAUCAGCAUGUCGCAGGAAUACGUUCCUGACCUGUACACACCAUCAUGUCACACCAUGGGAGUGGGUUUUACCAGAAGUAGUUAGCCUAACCGUAAGGAGGGCGAUCACCACGGUAGGAUUCAUGACUGGGGUGAAGUCGCAACAAGGUAA